ACAAGCACAGACAAGGUCAGUUUUGGCAAUGAUUUUACAGCUGAAUGCAUCUGCACUGACAAAGUCACCGAGUACUUUCAUGACAAAAAACUUGAUUGAGAGGGGAAAGGGCAUUGGAGGAGGUGAUCUUGUGUCAGAUGAUGAAAGGUUAUAGUGACAUAGAGAUACAGAAACAGGUGUCUUGCUGUAGAGGAGGUACAUGGUUACCUGGCUGGAGAGAGAGAUGAGGAAUGAAGGCAGAAACAGGUAUUCUGCCACAAAAGAAGUAUGUGGUUACUCAACCUGAGGGAAGUGCAGAAGAAGGAGAGAGAGAGAGUGGGAGACAGCAGAAUAGAGAUGGUGGCUAAGUGCUGGGGAUAUGCAAUGAAACAGUGAGACAGGGCAGUAAAGACAGGAUUGGGGAGCGAGAGGUAGGCAUAGUGUAUUAAGGAGGAAAUGUGAGGAAGAGAAAAGAUGUAAAUUGGUUUGUUGGGGUAGGGUGAGUGAAAAGUUUUCUUGAUAUGUGUGGGUAGAACACACAGGUCAGGGGCUUGCUGAGAGCAAUGAUACUUUGGCACAGGGCCAAGAGGACAGGAUUAGGGAGUGGGAGGUAAGCAUAGUGCAUGAAGUGGAA